rfam:Parcubacteria bacterium GW2011_GWA2_51_10 TY63_C0021, whole genome shotgun sequence.
GGCCCCAUCGUCUAUCAGUUAGGACACGACCUUCUCAAGGUUGAGAGACGGGUGCGAUUCCCGUUGGGGCUA